rnacentral:rRNA from 1 species
GAUGAACGCUGGCGGCGUGCCUAAUACAUGCAAGUCGAGCGAACAGACGAGGAGCUUGCUCCUCUGACGUUAGCGGCGGACGGGUGAGUAACACGUGGAUAACCUACCUAUAAGACUGGGAUAACUUCGGGAAACCGGAGCUAAUACCGGAUAAUAUAUUGAACCGCAUGGUUCAAUAGUGAAAGACGGUUUUGCUGUCACUUAUAGAUGGAUCCGCGCCGCAUUAGCUAGUUGGUAAGGUACGGCUUACCAAGGCAACGAUGCGUAGCCGACCUGAGAGGGUGAUCGGCCACACUGGAACUGAGACACGGUCCAGACUCUUACGGGAGGCAGCAGUAGGGAAUCUUCCGCAAUGGGCGAAAGCUUGACGGAGCAACGCCGCGUGAGUGAUGAAGGUCUUCGGAUCGUAAAACUCUGUUAUUAGGGAAGAACAAAUGUGUAAGUAACUAUGCACGUCUUGACGGUACCUAAUCAGAAAGCCACGGCUAACUACGUG